GAUGAACGCUGGCGGCGUGCCUAAUACAUGCAAGUCGAGCGAACAGACGAGGAGCUUGCUCCUCUGACGUUAACGGCGGACGGGUGAGUAACACGUGGAUAACCUACCUAUAAAACUGGGAUAACUUCGGGAAACCGGAGCUAAUACCGGAUAAUAUAUUGAACCGCAUGGUUCAAUAGUGAAAGACGGUUUUGCUGUCACUUAUAGAUGGAUCCGCGCCGCAUUAGCUAGUUGGUAAGGUAACGGCUUACCAAGGCAACGAUGCGUAGCCGACCUGAGAGGGUGAUCGGCCACACUGGAACUGAGACACGGUCCAGACUCCUACGGGAGGCAGCAGUAGGGAAUCUUCCGCAAUGGGCGAAAGCUUGACGGAGCAACGCCGCGUGAGUGAUGAAGGUCUUCGGAUCGUAAAACUCUGUUAUUAGGGAAGAACAAAUGUGUAAGUAACUAUGCACGUCUUGACGGUACCUAAUCAGAAAGCCACGGCUAACUACGUG
rnacentral:rRNA from 1 species